rnacentral:misc_RNA from 1 species
AAAGUGAUCGGGAAGUAUAUGUAUACGUACGGUGAUACGAGACGGAGAAACAGUGGGGAAAAGGAGCAAAAUUUCGUGGUAAAAGCAAAUCGAAGGGACAGGAUAGGGACACGGGUAGCAGGAAGAACGAGAACGGCAGAGACAGUGUUAAACGGUUUCCGCGACCAGAGUUCCUACGUCUUGUCGUGUCGAUAUUAUCGGUGAUUGUGGAUGAACGUUGGUUUUUGGCGCCUCUGAGAUCGAUCGCAGUGCCGACCGAUCGAAGAAAAAUUUGGAAUGUAACGCCGGUAGGGCAUUAGAACGGCAACGGUAGUGGCUGUAGUGGGUCCGCCGCGGCUACGACAGCGACAACGGCAAAGGCAACGACGGCGACAGGGCGACCGGACGGGUGGAGUGUGCAGCAAGAGGGAGAGAGCACGGAGGACCACUCUCGCUUUCGUUCGGCUCUCCCUCUUUAUCUUUCCUUCUCUCCUCUGUCCCUCUCUCCCUCCCUCUCUCUCUGCUUCUCUCCUUUCUCCCUUGCUCGCGCAGCGGCUGCUGCUGCUACUCGUCGACUAGUAGGAGAACGGAGAGAGAAAGAGAACACAAGAAAGAGAGUGAGAGAGCGCCGGAGGAAGAGAAUCGUCGCGCGGAAGACAGAGCUGGAGCGUGUGCCCGUCGAGCAACAAAGAGAGAAAUACCUCGUCCAGCCGAAGAAACCGAAGAGAAGGAGAAGGAGAAGGAUCGUACAAAUCAACCGCCUUCUAACAAGCCACAUUAACCUCAAGUGAUUUCUAUUUUCUUACGAAACGCGAAAGAAGUAAUUAGUGUGUUUAUAUCGACGUAAAACAAAGAAAGAAAGGAAGAAAGCGAAAAGAAAGAAGAAAGAUAUUCCAAGAGCUUAAGUUCAGAAGAAGACAAAGCAUUAAGAGGUAUAGUAUCUAAUUAGUGUACAAAGUAUAUCUGAAAUAAAAAAAAGAAAAAAUAAAAAAAAGUCCGCCAGUGCCAAAACGAAAGACGAAACGAAAGAAAAAAAAACGAAAAAGGAAAGGAAACAGAGUAAGAAAGCAAAAAAAACGGAGAAACGCGUUUAACACGAUUGUUGUACGUUUAAGAGCAGAUUUAAAAAAAAAAAAGACAAACGAAACAAAAGGUAAAAAAGAAGAAAGAAGAAGUAAAAACCGUAAACCAAAGAAUCUACCAUUUCUUUUUUUCUACUAAUCACUCAGCGAGCUAACGAUAUACUCACUAACCAGCUAGACGAGCGGCGAUCUCUUCGCGAACAGAUUUAAUUAGAAGAAGAAAAAAAAGCGCAAGACAGAAGCAUACGAAAUAAGUAAAUGAAAAAAUCUGACCGACAAAGUUUUCUAAGCUUAUAAUAAACAAAUUUUACGUGAUAGGCAAACUAAAAGUAAGGGUAGACGUUCUUUUUUUUAAAAAAACAAAAAAAAAAAAGAAAAAAGGAGAAAAAAGUAAAACAGAUGCACCUACUCUUAAAGAGCGCGUAUGAGAAUAUCUAAUUAAGGAAAGAAGAAGAGUCCCAUCCAAAGCGAAAGACAGACGGAGAGAACGCAGGCCGCCCUAUAUAUCCGGAAAAGGGGACUCGCAUAUAAUUACUCCCAGAGAAACCGAUCUACUUCAGUUCGUAGCCUAAACCUGUUGAGUACAAACGACAGAAAUAGAGUUAUAGAGAGCGAGAGAGAGAGCGAGAGCGUACGUACGAACGAGAGAACGAGAGCAAGUGAGAAUAACGACAAGAGUGAACGCGAAAGAGGAACGAAGAAAAGCUC